GACGAACGCUGGCGGCGUGCUUAACACAUGCAAGUCGAACGGAAAGGCCCUGCUUUUGUGGGGUGCUCGAGUGGCGAACGGGUGAGUAACGCGUGAGUAACCUGCCCUUGACUUUGGGAUAACUUCAGGAAACUGGGGCUAAUACCGGAUAGGAGCUCCUGCUGCAUGGUGGGGGUUGGAAAGUUUCGGCGGUUGGGGAUGGACUCGCGGCUUAUCAGCUUGUUGGUGGGGUAGUGGCUUACCAAGGCUUUGACGGGUAGCCGGCCUGAGAGGGUGACCGGCCACAUUGGGACUGAGAUACGGCCCAGACUCCUACGGGAGGCAGCAGUGGGGAAUAUUGCACAAUGGGCGGAAGCCUGAUGCAGCAACGCCGCGUGCGGGAUGACGGCCUUCGGGUUGUAAACCGCUUUCGCCUGUGACGAAGCGUGAGUGACGGUAAUGGGUAAAGAAGCACCGGCUAACUACGUG
rnacentral:rRNA from 1 species